UUAGUAACAAGUAAUUUCAGCUUAACCCUUUCGCUCCGGACGCAUUCUACGUCGUGCCGUCCCCGCUGACCAAGCAGUCGCGGCAAGCGUCCGUACUUGCGGAACAACUGCAAGCGCCCGUCAGACGCAC